UUUAUUUAUUUAAUUUUUUUUUUCUAAUAUACAAUUAGCUUCAACUAGGACUCAAAUUUGAGAUCUCACAGCUUGGAGACAACUCCAAAUCAUAAAAUUUUCCUUUACAACCCUCUCCCCUUUAAGAAUUCUGAAGUACCAAAAAAAUGUUGGUUCUGGUGAGCAUUUAUCGCAAAGAUGAAUAAUAGCUUGAUUAGUGCAAAUGGAAUUGCAUUUGAAUUAGAAAACCAGUUUCUUUGAACUCAUUGAGCAUAAAAGAACAAGAAAGCUUAACUUGCAUUUGCUUUAGAAAGGCCUACCUACACUUCAGCAAGGAAAUAAUAUCACCAACUGUUAGAAUCUUCUUGAAUACUGGUGGCUUCUUGGGUAAAUCACCAUCAACUUGAUGAGCGUCAUCAGAUCCA
rnacentral:misc_RNA from 1 species